GCAGAGUUCGCAAACGGGGAGAAUAGAGGAUGUAAAGGAGAGGGGGUAAAGGAAGGGAUAGACAGAGAUAGAGGAAUGCGGGGCGAGGGAGAGAAACGGCGGGGGCAGAGAGGAGGAGAGAGAGACAGAGUGUCUGGCUGCAUGUGGCGGGGCUGGACACAGGAGGACAGAGGAAAUUUGAGGUGAUGGUUGAAGAGGCAUCUGAGAGGAGUGAGUGGUCAUCAGCUCUAUAACACCCCUCCUGACGAACCACUCAAACAACAGACAGAGACAGACGCCAGCCUCAGUCACAUGACUUGUCCUGCCAGUAAGAAGGAGCCUCCUGGCAGCAUGAUCAUGGUAGAUAUCCUCUCCUCUCUAGCCGCUUCAAGUCAUCCUCUAUGUUUUCACCUCCACCACUGUGUUGUCAUUCUAGGUGUCAAGAACAGAAGACAAGGUACAAGUCCACUCCCAGCCCCUCCCAGCCCCUCCCAGCCCCUCCCAGCCCCUCCCAGCCCCUCCCAGCCCCUCCUGGAGCCUCAGACCAGUACAACCAGCUGACAGAGGUCCUCACACAGCAACAACAGGUUACUGUAACACUUCCUUUAUUACACACUGGUUAUCACAGUACCCUAACUGACUCUGUGCCUCUCCUCCCUCCAUCAGAAGUGUCUGUGCCAGCAUGUGGGAGAUCACUGAGACAACUAGGAGGAAGCACAGAGGGACCAAACCCGAUUUUGGAGGAGCACUACCUGUCCAGAGCUCAGUGAGGAUUUUAAGCUGGACAUCAAAGGAACUGGCCGUAGAUUUAAGAGUCAUCCAGUCCGGAGGCAUCAAGUUUAGGUUGUUCAAAAAGGUCUCUCUCUCUCUCUCUCUCUGCAGUGGGCUGUUCAAGACUGAUAAAGGGAUUGGCAGUGCUGGUAUGAAGCUGUACUCUCUGGAAAGGCAGUGUGAGAGCAAACAGCUUAUAAAGAGGCUGCCUCCUACCAGUGUCUGUAGGGAAGAGUGUCUCAACUGCUAUCUACUCGGCCCUCUUCGGCCCCCGGGCAUGGCCAGGCAUGGGCAUCACCUCCACUGCAGGUUCCUCCUGCCUCUGCCUCUCUGCCUGGACCAGCACCCAGAGACCACCACCACCGCACAGCCCGGUCCAACGCAGCCAGGCCUCUCGGGAAAUGAGAACAGAGGAAAACAUCGUCAAAACAACAAUAAUAAAAACAGGCCACUAGAGAGACAGACAGAGAAGAAGUCAGUAAAGGACAGGGUAAUGUUCAUAAGUUACAACAUAAGAACACACAGUGAAACAGGUCGAAUACCAUCUGAACUUAUACAAUAUCAAAUGCUUAUUUUGUUUUUUAUUCAUUGCAACAUAUUUUGUUAUGGUGUGUGCUCAAAUGAACACAACACGGUUUCAGUAAAGAACAUGUUCAAAUGAAUAGAGGACAGCAUCAACAGGGUUGAGUAUAGGUGGAUGAAAAUGUACACGUUUAGUGUUUGUAUGUGUGUGAAUGAACAGACAAUGGAGGAGCAUCCUAGGCUGGAUGCCUGGCUGGACACACUGUAAAGUUUGUGGGAACAGUACACAUACACACAGCCUCUUGAUUGAGUGGAUACAACACAAUGGAGUUAGUGGGAGGCAUGCAAUGGACACCACAAAACAAAGCCAGGUAGCUAACUAGUAGGCCUAUACCUUUAUUACUGAAGGAGCAGGGAAUUGGAUGGAAGGGUGCCACCACAGCCACACUCAACUUAGAAUAGCAAGUUAAUGAGAACUGUGCAGUGGUAAGCUAGAUUGUUUUUCCAUUCUUCCACACUGCUGUUGAGUGAAACUGCAGGCUCUUGUUUUAUCUUGUCUUGAUUAUUGUCCAGUCAUAUGGUCAAGUGCUGCAAAGAAAGACCUAGUUAAGCUGCAGCUGGCCCAGAACAGAGCGGCAGGUCUUGCUCUUCAUUUUAAUCAGAGGGCUGACAUGCUGACCUCACCGCUCGUGUUACAUGCACAAGAGUUGCAAAAUAAAUUGACACACCUGUUAUUCAAUCAUUUCAAGUACAGUAUUAUACAGAGCCAUGAGUGCAUGGAACAAACUUCCCCCUUAUCUAGCACAAUUGAACAGCAAACCUGGAUUUUAAAAAAACAAAUAAAGCAAAA